rnacentral:antisense_RNA from 1 species
CAAGCUCCUCCUCUUCUAUCUGAUCGCCACGAGUCAGAGAAAGACCAAGUUUCCGAAGGUUUGUGAGAUUUUUCACUUCACUGAGCUUGCACCCAUUGUUGGACCUGGCUGGCUUAAAUCCCAACAGAACUUCGAGCUUCACGAGACUUCCGAUACCCUUGGGGAAGCAUUCAAGGGAUCCACAG